rnacentral:rRNA from 1 species
UGGAGGCAUGUGGUUUAAAUUCGAAGCAACGCGCAGAACCUUACCAACCCUUGACAUCCCUAUCGCGGUUUCUCGAGAGAGAUUCCUUCAGUUCGGCUGGAUAGGUGACAGGUGCUGCAUGGCUGUCGUCAGCUCGUGUCGUGAGAUGUUCGGUUAAGUCCGGCAACGAGCGCAACCCACAUCCUUAGUUGCCAGCAGUUCGGCUGGGCACUCUAGGGAAACUGCCCGUGAUAAGCGGGAGGAAGGUGUGGAUGACGUCAAGUCCUCAUGGCCCUUAGCGGGUCGGGCUACACACGUGCUACAAUGGUGCUCACAGUGGGUUAAUCCCCAAAAGGCAUCUCAGUUCGGAUUGUCGUCUGCAACUCGACGGCAUGAAGUCGGAAUCGCUAGUAAUCGCAGAACAGCAUGCUGCGGUGAAUACGNUCCCGGGCCUUGUACACACCGCCCGUCACACCAUGGGAGUUGGUUCUACCUGACGACGCUGCGCUAACCCUUACGGGAGGCAGGCGGCCACGGUAGGAUCAGCGA